rfam:Danio rerio chromosome 12, GRCz11 reference primary assembly.
UCAAAGGUGUUUUUCAACGCCACCCAAAUUUCUGAAAGAGCACUUU